rnacentral:rRNA from 1 species
UACGAACCGUACAAACGUUAUUCGGAAUCACUGGGCUUAAAGGGUGCGUAGGCGGCCAUGUAAGUGAGGUGUGAAAUCCCUCGGCUCAACCGAGGAACUGCGCUUCAUACUGCAUGGCUUGAGGGAGACAGGGGUCAGCGGAACUGAUGGUGGAGCGGUGAAAUGCGUUGAUAUCAUCAGGAACACCGGUGGCGAAAGCGGCUGACUGGGUCGUCUUCUGACGCUGAGGUACGAAAGCUAGGGGAGCGAACGGG